UCUGACAGCUAUUCAAAUCUGCCUCAUAACUACUGUUUGAGACAGCAGCGGGUUCCUUCUAAAAGAGUGUCAACAUCGGAAGUGAGACAAGGAAGUGUGUGUACACCGUGUGCCGUUUUUGUCAAAGUCGGGCUAAACGACAACCACACGGCCCCUUUUUCUCAUGCCGCUCGGAGCGUGGGUGGAGAAUUGUCGUCUCGAACGACGAUAGAGGCACUUCCACAAAACAUCAUCAAAACGCCUCAAAAGGCAUAAUUUGGAUGAUACCGCUAAGAGGAAGGCCACCAUGGACACAUCAUCAACGGGAUGAGACUGAGAAGAGGAAUUGAACAGAAUGGAAAUGGGAAAGCAGCGCCUGCUUUGUAGAGUGUACUGUGGAGACAGCAAAGACAGCAAUAUCCUUUUGAGAAUUUGAUUGGAGAUAAGAUGGCGCUCUCAUUGUCUCCGCGGACUUAAGUUAAAAAUAGAC